GAUGACUCACUGCUGGGCUGCUGGAAAGAUAAUUGCACUCCACCUUUGCUGGAGACUGGGGGAGGGACCCUUGGGAGGUUGUAAUUUUAGGGGCAGAGAUGGUAGUGUGUUCUGUUAUGCAAACAAGAUGCUAAUUAGACCCUAAGGGGAAACAGCUCCUUUCCCCUUCUGGGUCAGAAUUGCCUUGAACCCAGAAAUGCUCUCCCUGUUCUGGGAGCCUCCGAACUCCACUCCCUGUCCUGCCCCUGACCAAGCCUUCGGCGUUGAGGAGGUUGGGGUGACUCGAUGGGAACUCCAUCUGAGCGGGGCAUGACCUAUGAUGCACUCCACGUUUUUGACUGGAUCAAAGCAAGAAGUGGUGACAACCCUGUGUACAUCUGGGGCCACUCUCUGGGCACUGGUGUGGCGACAAAUCUGGUGCGGCGCCUCUGUGAGCGGGAGACGCCUCCAGAUGCCCUUAUAUUGGAAUCUCCAUUCACUAAUAUCCGCGAAGAAGCUAAGAGCCAUCCAUUUUCAGUGAUAUAUCGAUACUUCCCUGGGUUUGACUGGUUCUUCCUUGAUCCUAUUACAAGCAGUGGAAUUAAAUUUGCAAAUGAUGAAAA
rnacentral:sRNA from 1 species